rnacentral:tRNA from 1 species
GUGAGAGUGGAGUAGAGGUUGCUCGGUUGUCUUCCAAACAACAAGGAUGGGUUCGAUUCCCGUCUCUCGCA